UCUAUUGGAAAGCAUCUUGAAUUCACCUAUUACAAAGAGUAAUCGUGUUUGUUCGGUACUUUUUGUAAUAUGUGAAUUUUUUUAUUUUAAAAAGCUUAUAUAUUAAUUUUAAUUUAAUGGAGGUCAUUUAAAUGACACAAGGUACAGUAAAAUGGUUUAACGCAGAAAAAGGUUUCGGUUUCAUCGAAGUUGAAGGUGGAUCUGACGUAUUCGCUCACUUCUCAGCAAUCCAAGGCGACGGUUUCAAAUCUUUAGACGAAGGUCAAAAAGUUGAAUUCGAAGUUGAACAAGGUCAACGUGGACCACAAGCUACAAACAUCGUUAAACUUUAAUUUUUCGUUGUAAUUAGCAAAUAUACUAGAGGAAUCCUUAUAAUAGGAUUCCUCUUUU
rnacentral:sRNA from 1 species